rnacentral:rRNA from 1 species
UGGGGAAUCUUAGACAAUGGGGGAAACCCUGAUCUAGCCAUGCCGCGUGAGUGACGAAGGCCCUAGGGUCGUAAAGCUCUUUCGCCGGGGAAGAUAAUGACGGUACCCGGUAAAGAAGUCCCGGCUAACUCCGUGCCAGCAGCCGCGGUAAUACGGAGGGGACUAGCGUUGUUCGGAAUUACUGGGCGUAAAGCGCGCGUAGGCGGACUGUUAAGUCAGGGGUGAAAUCCCGGGGCUCAACCCCGGAACUGCCCUUGAUACUGGCAGUCUUGAGUUCGAGAGAGGUGAGUGGAAUUCCGAGUGUAGAGGUGAAAUUCGUAGAUAUUCGGAGGAACACCAGUGGCGAAGGCGGCUCACUGGCUCGAUACUGACGCUGAGGUGCGAAAGCGUGGGGAGCAAACAGGAUUAGAUACCCCCGUAGUCC